CCUACGGGAGGCAGCAGUGGGGAAUAUUGCACAAUGGGCGCAAGCCUGAUGCAGCCAUGCCGCGUGUGUGAAGAAGGCCUUCGGGUUGUAAAGCACUUUCAGCGGGGAGGAAGGCGGUGAGGUUAAUAACCUCAUCGAUUGACGUUACCCGCAGAAGAAGCACCGGCUAACUCCGUGCCAGCAGCCGCGGUAAUACGGAGGGUGCAAGCGUUAAUCGGAAUUACUGGGCGUAAAGCGCACGCAGGCGGUCUGUCAAGUCGGAUGUGAAAUCCCCGGGCUCAACCUGGGAACUGCAUUCGAAACUGGCAGGCUAGAGGCUUGUAGAGGGGGGUAGAAUUCCAGGUGGAGCGGUGAAAUGCGUAGAGAUCUGGAGGAAUACCGGUGGCGAAGGCGGCCCCCUGGACAAAGACUGACGCUCAGGUGCGAAAGCGUGGGGAGCAAACAGGAUUAGAUACCCGAGUAGUC
rnacentral:rRNA from 1 species